rnacentral:rRNA from 1 species
AUUGAACGCUGGCGGCAGGCUUAACACAUGCAAGUCGAGCGGAGCGAGGGUGCUUGCACCUUAGCUUAGCGGCGGACGGGUGAGUAAUGCUUAGGAAUCUGCCCUUAGCUCUGGGAUAACCCCGGGAAACCGGGGCUAAUACCGGAUACGAGACCGCGCGGCAUCACGCGGUCUGGAAAGUUUUUCGGCUAAGGAUGGGCUCGCGGCCUAUCAGCUUGUUGGUGGGGUAACGGCCUACCCAGGCGACGACGGGUAGCCGGCCUGAGAGUGCGACCGGGCACACUGGGACUGAGACACGGCCCAGACUCCUACGGGAGGCAGCAGUGGGGAAUCUUGCGCAAUGGGCGAAAGCCUGACGCAGCGACGCCGCGUGAGGGAUGAAGGCCUUCGGGUUGUAAACCUCUUUCAGCAGGGAAGAAGCGAAAGUGACGGUACCUGCAGAAGAAGCACCGGCUAACUACGUGCCAGCCGCCGCGGUAACAC